AAGGUUCUACUUUGUGUUAAUUAUUUUCCAGGUGGUGGCUGGAUACGCAUAUUUUAUUGAGUUCACAGCCAGGGAAACCACAUGUUCUAAGGAAAGUAAUAAAGAGUUGACCGAAAGUUGCGAGAUCAAGAAACAUGGAGAAAUGCUAAGAUGCACUGCUGAUGUUUACUAUCUGGUAGGUGGGAAGAAUAGAAUUAAAACUACUGUCAAAUGUCAGUCACCAGGAAAG